rnacentral:tRNA from 1 species
GGAGGGGUGGGCGAGUGGCUAAAACCAGCAGACUGUAAAUCUGCCGCCUUAACUGGCUACGCAGGUUCGAAUCCUGCCCCCUCCA